rnacentral:lncRNA from 1 species
CAGAAAGGUGGCGUCAGUGAAUUUGGACUUCCUUAUAAUGUGAUUACUAAACAACUUAUCUCUCUUAACAAUAGCUGUCCUACUUCAAAGAACAUUUACUUGCUGGAGUUUCACCCUUCUCUUGGUCUGGUGUGCUUGAUCCCCAAAGCUGUUGAGCAUAUCUACCAGGAAUUCUGCAACAUCCUUAGACCGAAAACAGCCAGUGAAGCAAGUAAUCUAGAAAAACAAGUACUUCAGCUAGCAGUGGAUGAGUGGCUAACUAUGGAAAAAGCAGAGUCUUUUUACAGCUCUCAGAUUCAAAAAGAUUUAUUUGCAGAGGUACUGAUAGAAGACCCUGUGCUGGUGCAAGAGAUUGCUUUGUCACUGUUAGAGCUGAGAGCAGAUGAAGAAAAAAAGGAAAGCAGAGAAAAACAAUUCUUUCUCCUCGAUUCCUUUUCCAUGAUCCUAGAGCUUGUGACGCUUCGCCAUCGGUUGAUAGAGGUGGCAACGGAGAGCGCGCAGUUAGCCAGGUUAUACAAAGCUUUUGCAAGGGAAAUGGGUUUUGGUGAGUUCCAUUUGUAUCUGAGGCCAGUGCACUUUGAAUUUGCAUCUUACAAGGAGAAAGCAGACCACAUCCCACCAAUAUUCAUUACAUCCCUCCUGGAAGAUGACAGCUGUGUUGACAGAUAUAUUCCAUCUAACUUACAAUUAGGCAUCCAAGAAAUCGACAGUCAUAUUGGAAAGUUUAGCUUCCGUACAAGAGAUGGUGUUAUGCAGCUCUUGUCCCCGUCUGGAAUAAAGAACAUGCAGCUUAUCCUUGCCUGUCAGGUCAUUCAGAAAAAUGCUCUUUUGGUGGCUGUUCAGCAAGCUUCCUUUUGUUACCUGGUCCAGCCUACCCAUGCCCGGGACACAAAGGAAGGAAAUAUAAGACUAACAAGUUGGAGCAGUUCAGCAAGUGGAAGAAAUUCUGUGUCUGGGAAUGAAAUAGAGAAUCGGCUGCUGCAAGCAACCACAGCAGCCACCUCAUGUUCUCCUGGACGUUCUUCAGAUUUACACUGUACCAUAAACAGGCCUGCAGAAGCUUUUGUUUCCAUUCAGCUAGAGAAACUGGGGCCUCGAGACAUGAUGCUGAACGCAUUCAUUCAGAAGAAAGAAACCAUGGGUAGCAGAAUGCAAAACCCUGUAAGUGUGUCAGGAGAUUUAUCGUUUUCAAGAGAGACUGUUGAUUUUUGGCACAUAGGCAAAGUGGUUAGGGUC